AUGGGCGCAAGCCUGAUCCAGCAAUGCCGCGUGCAGGACGAAGGCCUUCGGGUUGUAAACUGCUUUUGUACGGAACGAAACGGUUGUGGUUAAUACCCAUGGCUAAUGACGGUACCGUAAGAAUAAGCACCGGCUAACUACGUGCCAGCAGCCGCGGUAAU
rnacentral:rRNA from 1 species